rnacentral:tRNA from 1 species
GGGCCCGUGGCCUAGCCAGGUCAUAUAGAGAGAAUCUUGUAAGUUGGUAAUCCCCGGUUCGAAUCCGGGCGGGCCCGCCA